UCAUGUAGCUCUUGUCAACAUGUAGUAUUGCUAUUGAAACAAAAUAUUUGUUAGUUUGACAGGAGAAAAAAAUUCAUCACUAUAUUUUCAUAUAUUUUUUGACUAUUAGCAGGACUAAAUUUUUUUUCAUAUGUUCAUAGGCUAUCUGUAUUUUUUGGUGAAUUGCUUUUUUAUGUCUUUUUUUGGUACAUGCAUUCAGACACUUGGGGCAUUGAGUUGCUUGAAAUUAGUAUGUCUAGGAAGAAGGGGGGUGAAGUCGUUUCAUCUGAUGUUGAGAAUUAAAAAUAUCUUUAAAACAAACCCCAGACUUCCUCAGGCUUAUAGAAAGCCUUACUGAAAAACAGCUCAAUUGUAAUUGUUAUUUGGCUCCUUUAUAACUUAAAUUCCAGCUCAUAUUGGCUUUAUCUGGAUGUCACAGGCAAACCAAAAAGAUUAGAAAAUACCCUCCACACAAUUAACCAAGGAUUCUACAAAUUCUUAGAAAACAAGUGAAGCAAUGCCAGCUUCUCUCUUCCAGUUAAGAGCUACCCUUGGAGUCAGGCUGAUAAGUCAAUUGCCCUGGUCCUGUGGGCACAUGAAUGAGGAAGGACCAUCCUUUGAUAGGGAGUAUCUGGAGUUCAUAUUCAAUGCCCAGGAUGGGAAGGAUAUACUCAAAACUGGAUUCCUUCCGCUUUACGCUGCCUGCAUUUAUGUGUCACUAUAGUAAGAAUAUUCUUUUGCUCGUCUUCACUAAAAUGUUUAAAGUGGAAAGGCAGGGAGGAGGAGUCUAUAUGCUCUCAGUAUUUGCAUUUUGGCCUUAUAGUCAGGCAUGUAUUAAGUAGCAUAUCUCCUCUAACCGUUGUCAUAAUUAAAGUGUUUAUGCUUUAGUAUUAGAGGCCUAACAGCUUCCAUUACUGUUACUGAGUCCAAGCUGCUACUGCUCACUGCAUAACAGGCCAAUAAAUCAAGAGACCAGGUAUAGGGGCAAGGAAGAACGACUUUGUUCAAAAAGCCAUCAAACUGAGAAGAUGGUGAACUAGGGUCCAAAGAACUAUUUUGUCCGAGUUAGAGUUCAGACUUCUCUUAUUCUAAAAAAGAGGGAAUAAAGUCAAACAUUUCCUGGUUCAGGUCAACCUCCAGAGGGGAUGUGUUCAUUUCUUCCUUCCUGCAGUCAUUCAACAGUGGGGCUUGGUCAGGGUGUUUCUUAUGAACUAAACAAAGGUAUUUUAGCUUAAUACUCAUUAUCCAGGAAGCAGGGUUCCCAGAGAUGGGCCAUUGUAUGUAAGUUAAGCUUAUAGGCAACAUCUCUUUAGUGAUUAACUUGUAAUAGCAUAGAAUGUUUCUUCCCUAUUACACUGCGUCAGGAGUAGGCAAGCAUGCCUUGGCUAAUCUUGCCAACUUCCAAACUAUCAUCGCAGGGAAAAUAGGGCUCACCAACCAUAUGUGGGUUGCAGUUGGUGCUUCUUUCUCAGGAUCCCUUGUAGUGUGAUUGAGAAUGAAAUACCCAAAUUUGCUGUUGCAAGAGUAUACCAAUCCAGGCAAAAGUUGACUUGAAGAGUAGUAAACAUCUACUACAGAAAAAUAUUUCUGUAAGUGAGCUGAUCCCUUGAUAAAUCAGUUGAUCACCCACAGAGCCAUCCAAAUUUGAGCUGUGUCUGCCCCCAACCCUACCAUGUUACCAACUCCCCGAAAGAUAUCCGGGUCACACAGAGUGAAUAGUUACCUUAUCCAUUUCUAAAGGUAACUGCCUGGUUGACUUUAAAAUGGGUUAUCUCAACUGUGACUUGAAGAGUGAAGUACAUCAUAUUCUAGAAUUAAAAAAAAAAAAGAAAGAAAAGUUCAUAUUUUUGAUAGGUAUAACUUCCUAAUUUUAGAGUUGCCUUUUAAUUCUUCUCUUUUCUAUAACCUGCAAUAAUUAACUAUUUUCUAAUGAAUUAUAUACUAUUAUUAUCUUGGGAUUUUUGGCUCUAUGUGACUAAACAUUCAUAUUCACAUUGAACUGGGGAAGGUGUAAAACUUCUAACCAGAUGGAUACUUCUGAAACAAGUGAUCUCAGAUUGCACUUUAGGUGGGAUUUCUAUAAUGUUUAAAUGGUUCAGUUAAGUAGCAUACUAUUUCCAGUUUCUAUAGUCAUGCUAUAUGUGUAUUCUCUUCUAAUUUUAUAAAGUCGCCCAAUUGAAUCUUUAUUCCUUGCAUCUUUUAGACAGCAGAGCUGGGUCCCAGUUGAUCAAGACUUGCAGAAAAUGGCUGUGCUUCUCUGCUCUAAUAUUGAUUUUUCUUCCAUUCUGACAAAAUCAUUUAAUUUUUCAAUUUCUAGAUCUCUGUAUUAAAAAGGAGGUCACAGGGAACUUAAAAGAAUUACAUUUUUCUCAUCUGGUGUAUGAAUCACCAACAUUAAAUCAUAUUAACUGACCUUGUACAAUUCCCCCCUAAAUUCUAGAAUAUAUUAAGCCAUUCAAAAUUCUUUGCAGCUUAUGAUAGCAAAUGCCCAGAAAUGGUGAACCAAGUUUCCAACAUUAUUGCAGAGAUGCUGAAAAACCCAGGAAGCGAUGAUAAGCUGACACAUGACCUCAAGCAAGUGAAGGUUUGUGCCAGAGGAGACUCUUCUGACAAGUUAGUCACAAAACCUGCUGUAAACUUGCGUUUUCCACCAACUCGAACAUUUCCAUAGGUUAAAGCCUAUGCUUUGGGGUAAACUUCUGAGGUUUAGCAAUACCACAGAGUUUUGAUAGUUUAUCAACAUCACAGAAGGUCCCAGCCUUAACCAAUGCUUUUCAGCUAGGUUGGGGUGGAUGGAGAUCAGAAAGAGGGACGUUGGGGAGUUCCCGUGGUGGCUCAGUGGUUAACGAAUCCGACUAGGAACCAUGAGGUUGCGGGUUCGAUCCCUGGCCUUGCUCAGUGGGUUAAGGAUCCGGCAUAGCCGUGAGCUGUGGUGUAGGUUGCAGAUGUGGCUUGGAUCCUGUGUUGCUGUGGCUCUGGCGUAGGCCGAUGGCUACAGCUCCAAUUUGACCCCUGGCCUGGGAACCUCCAUAUGCCAUGGGUGUGGCCCUAGAAAAGGCAAAAAGACGAAAAAAAAAAAAAAAGAAAAAGGGACACUAGAUUCCAUAUCAGGAAACUCAAGGAGGGGGCAGUGGGAGCAGGUACCCUACAGAAGGGGAAAGCACCUGGGGGGAUGGGACAACCCUGGACACCCGCCUGCACGGUGUUCCUCUUACCUUUGGAUAUAAGACUAUGGCCUAUGGAACCCAUGGCAUGGCUCUAGGGGCUGGGCUCCCUAGGAAGCCAAGCACAAGUAUCUUGUAUUUGUUUGUUAUUUAUUUAUUGGCAGAGCCCAUGCCAUGUGGGAGUUCCUGAGGCAGGGAUCGAACCUACAUCACACCAGACACCCAAGCCACUGCAAUGAGAGCACUGGAUCCUUAACCCCAGAGCCACUAGGGAACUCACAAGCAGAGGUACCUUUUAAACAAUUCAGAGCACUUCACAGUUGUUCUAAUCGCUCUGGCCCCUAACUCGACAGAAUCAUAAUGGGCAGUCUUUUCCUUUAAUCACAUGAAAUUGAUUCUGAUUUUGUUGCUGAAGCUUUGCAAUGUUUUUAAAACAUUAGCUGUCAUGACCAAUUAAAAUCCUCUAGGUGAAAGUGGUUUUUAAAGUUACAUUGCUAUUUAAACUAUAGUUUUAGUCACUUUUUUGGGAAUUCCUUAACACUCGACGAUAUAUUAGAAACCAGGGUCCUGUGGAGCCUCUUAAAGGCUCAUUCAAAUGAGAUUUAAAGCAUGAGAGAUGCUCUGUUUUGUGCCAUGAGAGAACUUCUAGUCCCAUCAACUGAUUUACAUUGAUGUAAAUCAGUACUUCUAAAGGGAAGUUUGCUUCAAGCACACGGCCUGCCAAUGAUGAGUCAGCAGCAAAAGAGAAACACCCCCGGAGUAAGUGUUGCUAUGGGAUGAAGGUUUUCUGUAGAAGCUGCACCAUAUCUUUCAGGCUGGGGACACAUCUUGAGUUCUCAUGGUUAAUCCCUGAAGGUUGUAACAACCCCUUGGCCACCUCAUCUUUCUAGACAAGCUGGUGGCUAAUACCCCAUGGACUCCUAGAAGCCAGUCCUGGCAGGGAUCCUUAAGAACAUCUCAGCAGGAAACUGAAGCCCAGAAAUGUUUGAUAAUAAGGUUUCACUAUAGCUAAUUAAGGUUAAAAAAGUAUUCUGAGUCCAAGAGACAGUUUGUUCCACUGUGUGGGGAAAAUAAUAUCAAUGCCAUAACAAUGUCAGGUUCACCUUGACCAAAUCUCAUCUAGUAUGGCAAAUCCACAGGGAAUUAAGAAACCCAUAAUAAUAAAUGCAGCUUCUUGGAGUUCCCAUUGUGGCCCAGGGGGUUAAGGACCCAGUGUCGUCUUCAUGAGGAUGCAGGUUUGAUCCCUACCCUCACUAAGGUUAAGGAUCCAGUGUUGCUGCAAGUUGUGGCAUAGGUUGCAGAUGCAGCUUGGAUCCCAUGUUGCUGUGGCUGUGGCAUAGGCCUCAGCUCCAACUCCAAUUUGAUCCCUAGCUUGGGAACUUCCAUAUGUUGCAGGUUGUGGCCAUAAAAAGAAAAAAAAA
rnacentral:lncRNA from 1 species